UUUGCUUUGCAGUAUCAAUAAGCUUUUAAUUCCUAGUAGUUUGAAAUUCUUUGUAAUGCUUUGUCUUAGGUUUUGUUUUGUGGAGAAAUUCUUAACUUAGAUUGAUUGAUCAACAAAAUUAGUCCUUAGUUCAUUCAAUUAUUUUUGUUAGGUGGCCAUACUCACAUAUUUGAAUGUACAUCAAAGCUCGCCAUUUAAACUCAACUGUGCAAUUUUCAUUUCGAACUCCCAUAUGCCUAGAGGACUGCAAUGAUGUUGUAAGCCACUUUAUUGAGUGGAUAUAUGUUGACUUUUACAAAAGGAUCACCGCUGUGAAAUUGGGAGGAGGUACUAUCUUUUCUCUGAUUUUUGUAAGCAUAGCUAUGCUAUAUUUCUAUUUCUAUGUGUGGGUGUGUGUUUGUAUAAUUAUAGAUAAUUCUU